GACGAACGCUGGCGGCAUGCCUAAUACAUGCAAGUAGGACGCAGUUGCGAACGGGUGAGUAACGCGUAGGUAACUACCUAUUAGAGGGGGAUAACUAUUGGAAACGAUAGCUAAUACCGCAUACUAGUAGAUGGACCUGCGUUGUAUUAGCUAGUAGGUAGGGUAAUGGCCUACCUAGGCAACGAUACAUAGCGGGCCUGGGAAGGUGGUCGGCCAACCUGGGAAUGGAGCAAGGCCCAGGAUCCUUCGGGAGGCAGCAGUAGGGAAUCUUCGGCAAUGGGGGGAACCCUUACCGAGCAACGCCGCGUGAGUGAAGAAGGUUUUCGGAUCGUAAAGCUCUGUUGUGAAGGAAGCGGUACUUAACCAGAAAGGGACGGCUAACUACGUGCCAGCAGCCGCGGUAAUAC
rnacentral:rRNA from 1 species